GUCAGCUCGUGUCGUGAGAUGUUGGGUUAAGUCCCGCAACGAGCGCAACCCUUGACUUUAGUUGCCAGCAUUGAGUUGGGCACUCUAGAGUGACUGCCGGUGACAAACCGGAGGAAGGUGGGGAUGACGUCAAAUCAUCAUGCCCCUUAUGACCUGGGCUACACACGUACUACAAUGGCCGGUACAACGGGAAGCGAAGGAGCGAUCCGGAGCGAAUCUUUAGAAGCCGGUCUCAGUUCGGAUUGCAGGCUGCAACUCGCCUGCAUGAAGUCGGAAUUGCUAGUAAUCGCGGAUCAGCAUGCCGCGGU
rnacentral:rRNA from 2 species